AGCGAACGCUGGCGGCAGGCUUAACACAUGCAAGUCGAGCGGGCACUUCGGUGUCAGCGGCAGACGGGUGAGUAACACGUGGGAACGUACCCUUCGGUUCGGAAUAACGCUGGGAAACUAGCGCUAAUACCGGAUACGCCCUUCUGGGGAAAGGUUUACUGCCGAAGGAUCGGCCCGCGUCUGAUUAGCUAGUUGGUGGGGUAAUGGCCUACCAAGGCGACGAUCAGUAGCUGGUCUGAGAGGAUGAUCAGCCACACUGGGACUGAGACACGGCCCAGACUCCUACGGGAGGCAGCAGUGGGGAAUAUUGGACAAUGGGCGCAAGCCUGAUCCAGCCAUGCCGCGUGAGUGAUGAAGGCCUUAGGGUUGUAAAGCUCUUUUGUCCGGGACGAUAAUGACGGUACCGGAAGAAUAAGCCCCGGCUAACUUCGUG
rnacentral:rRNA from 1 species